UACGGAGGGGGCUAGCGUUGUUCGGAAUUACUGGGCGUAAAGCGCGCGUAGGCGGACCUGCAAGUCGGGGGUGAAAGCCCGAGGCUCAACCUCGGAACUGCCUUCGAUACUGCGGGUCUCGAGUCCGGGAGAGGUGAGUGGAAUUCCUAGUGUAGAGGUGAAAUUCGUAGAUAUUAGGAAGAACACCAGUGGCGAAGGCGGCUCACUGGCCCGGUACUGACGCUGAGGCGCGAAAGCG
rnacentral:rRNA from 1 species